UCCUGGGUGGUGCAAACAGUUAAUGUGUUCAGCUGCUAACUGAAAGGUUGGUGAUUCGAAUUCACCCAGAGGUG
rnacentral:tRNA from 1 species